GACGAACCGUGCGAACGUUAUUCGGAAUCACUGGGCUUAAAGGGCGCGUAGGCGGCUCGGCACGUCCGUUGUGAAAUCGCCCGGCUCAACUGGGCGGGGUCAGCGGAUACGGUCGAGCUUGAGCAAGCUAGGGGGCAAUGGAAUUCCCGGUGUAGUGGUGGAAUGCGUAGAUAUCGGGAGGAACACCAGUGGCGAAGGCGGUUGCCUGGAGCUUUGCUGACGCUGAGGCGCGAAAGCGUGGGGAGCGAUCCGG
rnacentral:rRNA from 1 species